rnacentral:rRNA from 1 species
UACGAAGGGGGCUAGCGUUGUUCGGAAUUACUGGGCGUAAAGCGCACGUAGGCGGACAUUUUAAGUCAGGGGUGAAAUCCCAGAGCUCAACUCUGGAACUGCCUUUGAUACUGGGUGUCUUGAGUAUGGAAGAGGUGAGUGGAAUUCCGAGUGUAGAGGUGAAAUUCGUAGAUAUUCGGAGGAACACCAGUGGCGAGGGCGGCUCACUGGUCCAUUACUGACGCUGAGGUGCGAAAGCGUGGGGAGCAAACGGG